rnacentral:lncRNA from 1 species
CAACUUUCAUAACACUAUGCUUAAGGAAACCCUUAAAAUCAUUCUAUUCUCAUGAUAACAAAACAAGUUUCCUUUAAUUAUAAAUCUAAUUAGCUAGUCUGUGGAACCUUAAGGCGACUAUAUAUUCAUCCAAUGUUGCAGAUCCAACUAAAAAUAUGAACUGAGUAGAAAGUAAAUACAAAUAGUAAUUCAUAGCAAAAGAUUAGAUUCAACUCAUUACCAAUGAAACAAGAUCAUUUACAUAAGCACAGAAAAAGAAGGGGAUUAAUAAAAAAUCCUAUUUUGUACAAACUCAAAGUGAUCAAAAACAAAAAUCUUGGCCUCUAUCUAGUUCUACUACGAGUGAAGAUUGAAGCGACAGAGUUAGCCAGACCCAGCACUAUUCCAACCUUGACUUGUCCCCUCUUUGGAAUUGGACGCCCUAAACACCUCCUUCCCAAGCUUCUUCUUCCACCAUUCAUCAUACCACUACUUCUUCCACCUCCCAUCUCUUUCUUUCUAUAUAUCUAUUCACUCAAGAGAUUGAACAAGUGAUUAUAUCCUAUGUAUGUUGUGUUGCUUUGGUGAGUGUGGUUCAGCUUUGAUCUUUGUUUAUAUAGG